rnacentral:rRNA from 1 species
CAGUCGCCACGGGAAUACGUAGGUGGCAAGCGUUGUCCGGAAUUAUUGGGCGUAAAGGGCUCGCAGGUGGUUUCUUAAGUCUGAUGUGAAAGCCCCCGGCUCAACCGGGGAGGGUCAUUGGAAACUGGGAAACUUGAGUGCAGAAGAGGAGAGUGGAAUUCCACGUGUAGCGGUGAAAUGCGUAGAGAUGUGGAGGAACACCAGUGGCGAAGGCGACUCUCUGGUCUGUAACUGACGCUGAGGAGCGAAAGCGUGGGGAGCGAACAGGAUUAGAUACCCCUGUAGUCCCUGUCUCUUAUAC